UGGGGAAUAUUGCACAAUGGGCGCAAGCCUGAUGCAGCCAUGCCGCGUGUAUGAAGAAGGCCUUCGGGUUGUAAAGUACUUUCAGCGAGGAGGAAGGCGUUGUGGUUAAUAACCGCAACGAUUGACGUUACUCGCAGAAGAAGCACCGGCUAACUCCGUGCCAGCAGCCGCGGUAAUACGGAGGGUGCAAGCGUUAAUCGGAAUUACUGGGCGUAAAGCGCACGCAGGCGGUCUGUCAAGUCGGAUGUGAAAUCCCCGGGCUCAACCUGGGAACUGCAUCCGAAACUGGCAGGCUAGAGUCUUGUAGAGGGGGGUAGAAUUCCAGGUGUAGCGGUGAAAUGCGUAGAGAUCUGGAGGAAUACCGGUGGCGAAGGCGGC
rnacentral:rRNA from 1 species